rfam:Bacteriophage fr replicase gene, 5' end.
AAACCCGUGCCAUUCCAACAUGAGGAAUACCCAUGU